rnacentral:rRNA from 1 species
UGGGGAAUCUUGCACAAUGGGGGCAACCCUGAUGCAGCGACGCCGCGUGAGCGAUGAAGGUUUUCGAAUCGUAAAGCUCUGUCCUAUGGGGAGAUAAUGACGGUACCAUAGGAGGAAGCCCCGGCUAACUACGUGCCAGCAGCCGCGGUAAUACGUAGGGGGCGAGCGUUGUCCGGAAUUACUGGGCGUAAAGGGUUCGCAGGCGGCAUGGCAAGUCCGAUGUAAAAGGCGAAGGCUCAACCUUCGUAAGCAUCGGAAACUGUCAAGCUUGAGUGAAGGAGAGGCAAGUGGAAUUCCUAGUGUAGCGGUGGAAUGCGUAGAUAUUAGGAGGAAUACCGGUGGCGAAGGCGACUUGCUGGACUUCAACUGACGCUGAGGAACGAAAGCGUGGGUAGCAAACAGG